rnacentral:rRNA from 1 species
UACGAAGGGUGCAAACGUUGCUCGGAAUUAUUGGGCGUAAAGCGCACGUAGGCGGCUUAGCAAGUCGGAAGUGAAAGCCCUCGGCUCAACCAAGGAAGUGCUUUCGAAACUGCUGAGCUUGAGUAGUUAAGAGGAUCGCGGAAUUCCCGGUGUAGAGGUGAAAUUCGUAGAUAUCGGGGAGGAACACCAGUGGCGAAGGCGGCUCACUGGCCCGAUACUGACGCUGAGGCACGGAAAGCGUGGGGAGCAAACAGG